rnacentral:rRNA from 1 species
GACGGACGGUGCAAGCGUUGCUCGGAAUCACUGGGCGUAAAGGGUGCGUAGGCGGCCGUGCAAGUCUGGCGUGAAAGCCCCGGGCUCAGCCCGGGAAGUGCGCUCGAAACUGCGCGGCUCGAGUGCCGGAGGGGAGAGUGGAAUUCCUGGUGUAGCGGUGAAAUGCGUAGAUAUCAGGAGGAAUACCGGUGGCGAAAGCGGGUCUCUGGACAGUUCCUGACGCUGAGGCACGAAGGCCAGGGGAGCAAACGGG